rnacentral:rRNA from 1 species
AGCAGUAGGGAAUCUUCCACAAUGGGCGCAAGCCUGAUGGAGCAACACCGCGUGAGUGAAGAAGGGUUUCGGCUCGUAAAGCUCUGUUGUUGGAGAAGAACGUGCGUGAGAGUAACUGUUCACGCAGUGACGGUAUCCAACCAGAAAGUCACGGCUAACUACGUGCCAGCAGCCGCGGUAAUACGUAGGUGGCAAGCGUUAUCCGGAUUUAUUGGGCGUAAAGCGAGCGCAGGCGGUUGCUUAGGUCUGAUGUGAAAGCCUUCGGCUUAACCGAAGAAGUGCAUCGGAAACCGGGCGACUUGAGUGCAGAAGAGGACAGUGGAACUCCAUGUGUAGCGGUGGAAU